rnacentral:lncRNA from 1 species
UUUUAGUGCUAAAUAGGGACUUUAGCACUUUCAGGAUUUUCGAGGUAGAAAACCUUAGAAUCUCAUGUCGAUACAUUUUUAUCUUUUGCAUGGAAUCCAUAAAAUUCUUCUGUCAAUGCAUUAAGAGAUUGAAGCAAGUGAGCUUCAUUACCUUCAUAGAAGGCGUAUAGAAUAUUGUCCACAAUAAUCUUCUGCUUAAAGACCAAUAACCUAUAUGUCCUAUACUAGUUUUUGAAAGAUCUUUAACUGCUGAUCAAAAAUAAUCUCUUUUCCAGUAACCACAGGUUGUUUGUUUGCCCUGAAAAUAGCUCUUCUGCUUUUUGACAAAGCAACAGCCAUUAACAGACUUGACAUGCCAGCUUUACCGUCUACCAUUUGAGAUGGGCUAGCCAAUUCUUUACCCUGGGAUAAGUCAAUUGAGGCUGCUCCGUUAGGAUACAAUAAUAACUCUUCUAAAAGUUUUUAUUCAUCAUUGGAUGUAACAGAUUGACCUUCAUAUUGCAAGGUAGAUUAAGACUAGUCUGAGUGCUCAUCCCAACCGUAAUUUGGUUUUGGCCGGACUUUUUUAGAAGACUGACUUGACUCUGCUGAACCAUAAGACACUAUGAAGUAUGAAUUGAUAUCCUGGUCCAUCAUGCAAAGAUCCUUUGGUUUUAUCACCACUCUUAUAUCUUUCGCAAAGACUAUUUUCUUCUUGUUUUGAUUUUCGGUUUCUUAGAUUACGACAUUCUCCUCUUUCAAACGUACAUUGUCAUUUCUCAUGUAAGAACGUCAGGCAGAUAGUUCUUGUCAUCUGCAACCAUUUCA